rnacentral:rRNA from 1 species
UACAGAGGUCUCAAGCGUUGUUCGGAUUCAUUGGGCGUAAAGGGUGCGUAGGUGGCGCGCUAAGUCAGGUGUGAAAUUUCGGAGCUUAACUCCGAAACUGCAUUUGAUACUGGCGUGCUUGAGGACUGGAGAGGAGUCUGGAAUUCAUGGUGUAGCAGUGAAAUGCGUAGAGAUCAUGAGGAAGACCAGUGGCGAAGGCGGGUCUCUGGACAGUUCCUGACACUGAGGCACGAAGGCCAGGGGAGCAAACGGG